rnacentral:snRNA from 1 species
AUAAUUUAUGACUCGAAAAUCAG